GAUACGAAUCCCACAAUGAAACUUUCAAUCCUACACUUAAUUUGUAGUUUCAACUUCCCAAGAAAGUUCUAAACAGAUUUAUGGCAAACAAAAACCUUGACCCAAUGCUUAAGAAAACAUGAACCAAAGGUAUAGAGAAGGGUAUUGACGCCACACUCAAGAAAAAGAUGAGAAGGUGAGUGAUAAGUCUAAAUUUGGAACACCACAAGAAUGUAAAUUCUUGAUAAGUUCACUAGUUCUCAAAAGAACCAAAGAAAGAAUAAUCUUUCAAAUUCAAAAUAACAUUCAUCUCCUUACAUACCAAGGUUGCUGAAUUUAAAUAGGCUAAAAGGAACCCAAGAUCCUAAAAAUACAAAUGGAAACAUUGGAACAACCCUCCAAGUAAGUUUGUCAAAAGAUGUUUCAAAAGUCUUCACCAACCCACCAUGAUCAAUGCUAUCUUUGACAAACUUAAUGCUAGCCUACUAUAAUUAAUGCUAUC
rnacentral:lncRNA from 1 species